rnacentral:rRNA from 1 species
AUGAGAAUGGAGUGCGGCUUCCUCGUGCUUGUGCUUGCGUUGCUAGGGACGCAGACAACACGAGCGUCUGGCGCCGUAGCGACAAAUGGCCGGCCGUAUGAGGAGGGCAAUCUUGUCAUCCCGUCCCCGGCCAUGCUCCGUGGGUGUCCGAAGAAGUGCGGCAAUCUGAGCUUUGCCUACCCGUUCGGCAUCGGCUCCGGCUGCUUCCGCGACCCCGACUUCAACCUGACCUGCGUCGUCGACGGCAGCACGGGCACCCACAAGCUCUUCUUGCGCGACGGCAUCACCGAGAUCGUCGACGGCGGCAUCGAGAUAUGA